rnacentral:tRNA from 1 species
GGGAAUGUGGUCUAGUGGUAUGUUACACUCUGACCUCACGUUUUCGGCCAUCAUUUUGCUAAUCUCGCCUCCAACUAGGUAUGAUUCUUCGUUUGGGAACUUUGUCUAGAAUCGAAGAGGCCAGGGGUUCGAUUCCCUUCAUUCCCC